CGGCUGUCACCUCAUCCCCGGCCCCGCGUCCCGUCCCGGCUGGCAGCCCUGACCCACGCCCUCAGGGCUCACUCUCCCCAGUUCCCUUCUCCAGAAACUGAACUGAGCGCUGCCAUCUUGGGACCGGGCAAUAACGGCGCUCCUCAUUCGUCCCCCGAGGAGGCCCGGAGAAUCCAACCAACCAGAAGUGAGAGUACUGCCGGGUGGGUCGGACCGGCCCAAUGGCAGCGAGGGAGUGUCGGGGGGGGGGGGGGGCCCCCGGGGGGGGGCCNNNNNNNNNNNNNNNNNNNNNNNNNNNNNNNNNNNNNNNNNNNNNNNNNGCUGGUCUGGGAGUUUAGCUGUGUCCUGUGGCCGCUGAGGAGACCUAGGCUGAGGCUGCCGGCGUCACGGUGCCUUUUUCUUCCGUUCCCUUCCUGUGAACCCCUCGCACCGUGUUUUAGUGUGUGGGCACUGACUCGUAACGGGACCCGGCUCUACGUACUGAAGUGUUGGCAAAAGACCGCUUUUGCUGCACGGCGCUCAGGGUGCGAUGCUUCCAGGCUUCAGCUCAUCUGUUGUGGAGAGCUUCAGGAAAUCUAGCUGUGCUGGUGUGCUUACACUGGUAGACUUUUCUGCGAAGAUCCCCUGGUGCUGGCUGCCACCCGUACCCCAGCUGAGCUGUGAGCUCACCCAUGGCCUGGAGCACAGAACUCGUCCCCGCAGCGCUGGUGCAAUGCAGUGCUGAGGCCUGUGUGACUCAGGAGGGAUGGCUCUUCCUAAAUCUUGGGUAGGAGACAGAGAAGUUGGCAAAAGUGACAAGUUCUCUUUCCAAGAUACUACUUGUUCCUUGAAAUUCCACCUUAUUAUGCCUUCAGAACAUAUGGUGAAGGUUUAAACACAGCAUUGCACCAUGACAGAACUUCAAACAGAGAAUUAAAUGAUUGCAUAUUUGGCUCUGAGCCACAAUGGUUCUGUUCAUUAUUGAUAGACAUUUCUUUUAUUUAUAUUGUACAUUUUCCAGGCUGGAUGUGGCUCUGGGCAGCCUGGUCUGGUGGUAAGCAACCCUGCACAUAGCAGGGGGGUUGAAACUAGAUGAUCAUUGUGGUCCUUUUCAAUCCAGGCUAUUCUAUGAUUUCAAAUCAGUUUCUGCAAAUUUAGCUUGCUAUCAAAAGAAGAUGCAGAGAAAAAUCAUUGUGGCAUUAGAUGAUUUUUCCUGAGGCUAAAAUAUCUUCCUAAAUUGUUGGGAGAACUUAAGAGGUGCUGGUUGACCUGUGUAGAACUGCAGAUUGAUGUGGAGAUAGGCAAUAACAUCUCCCAAAAGUCAGAGUAAGCCAUACAUUCGAACACACACGUCCACUUUUUUUUUUCUCAGAGUCCCAAUGAAUAGCAAUACUGUUUACUAUUGCUUUAAUGUAAGAAGUGAAAAAUAAGCAGAAGAGAAUGCAAAUGUGGAUUCCUGAAGAUUUUCUUCCGAACCUUCGAGUUGACUCAAUGUAGAGAUAUUGCAUUUGGCAUGGUACUGGCAGCAAUCACAUGCUUGUCCCCCUCCAUUUUUUGGUCAAAAAGCCAUUCAGCAGUGAAUCUGUAGACAUGGUACUACACAGAAGUUUGAUGGAUUAUCUCCAGCAGAUAUCUUCAGG
ensembl:lncRNA